GGGGACUGAGGCUUCAGUGUGUUAGUAGAACAGGUUAGUGAACUCAGGACCAGCUGGACGAGGGGACUGAGGCUUCAGUGUGUUAGUAGAACAGGUUAGUGAACUCAGGACCAGCUGGAUGAGGGGACUGAGGCUUCAGUGUGUUAGUAGAACAGGUUUGUGAACUCAGGACCAGCUGGACGAGGGGACUGAGGCUUCAGUGUGUUAGUAGAACAGGUUUGUGAACUCAGGACCAGCUGGACGAGGGGACUGAGGCUUCAGUGUGUUAGUAGAACAGGUUUGUGAACUCAGCCCCAGGACCAGCUGGAUGAGGGGACU
ensembl:lncRNA